GGCGUGGAGCCUUGCGGGGAGCAGGUCGCUCACAUCCAGGAGGAGCUGGGCGAGGUGUGUGGCAGACCUCGGCGUGGGGAGCCGUAGCCCGGCAGUCGGGAUGGGAGAGCGGAGCAGGCAUUGCAGGAAGUUUUGGAGAGGAGAAGCUGAGCGGCAACGAGGAGCCUGAGCAGGUACGGUGCAGGCCUUUCCCAGGCGUGGCUGAGGAUUUGAGGUGAAGUAGAAUGGAUGCCAUGGGCAGCCUCACAGCCACAGUGCUGGAGCGUGGCUUUGGCACAGUACAGGUGAUAAAGGCAACUGUGGUGACUGAAGGGAGAUCAGCGCGGAUGCGGCUGCCAUUGAGGAUGGCUCUUGAGGACCGAUGGUGAUGCCCAGCAUUUGAACAAUGCUGAGCAGUGUUCCGAGUGGGCCCAAGGGAGCUGGAGGAAGAAAGGGGCAUGCCCCAAGAAGGCGUGGAGCCUUGCGGGGAGCAGGUCGCUCACAUCCAGGAGGAGCAGGGUGAGGUGAGCAUCAGUCCGGGAGCGGACGUAGAGCCCGGCGUAGGGCCAUCACCUUGUCGGCGCUGUCCCCGUCGCCCAGCGCCGUUCCUGUUUU